rnacentral:rRNA from 1 species
CGAUAUUGGAAGCUUGCUUCCGAUAGGCGUCGACCGGCGCACGGGUGAGUAACGCGUAUCCAACCUGCCCACCACUUGGGGAUAACCUUGCGAAAGUAAGACUAAUACCCAAUGAUAUCUCUAGAAGACAUCUGAAAGGGAUUAAAGAUUUAUCGGUGAUGGAUGGGGAUGCGUCUGAUUAGCUUGUUGGCGGGGUAACGGCCCACCAAGGCGACGAUCAGUAGGGGUUCUGAGAGGAAGGUCCCCCACAUUGGAACUGAGACACGGUCCAAACUCCUACGGGAGGCAGCAGUGAGGAAUAUUGGUCAAUGGGCGAGAGCCUGAACCAGCCAAGUAGCGUGCAGGAUGACGGCCCUAUGGGUUGUAAACUGCUUUUAUAAGGGAAUAAAGUGAGCCUCGUGAGGCUUUUUGCAUGUACCUUAUGAAUAAGGACCGGCUAAUUCCGUGCCAGCAGCCGCGGUAAUACGGAAGGUCCGGGCGUUAUCCGGAUUUAUUGGGUUUAAAGGGAGCGUAGGCCGGAGAUUAAGCGUGUUGUGAAAUGUAGAUGCUCAACAUCUGCACUGCAGCGCGAACUGGUUUCCUUGAGUACGCACAAAGUGGGCGGAAUUCGUGGUGUAGCGGUGAAAUGCUUAGAUAUCACGAAGAACUCCGAUUGCGAAGGCAGCUCACUGGAGCGCAACUGACGCUGAAGCUCGAAAGUGCGGGUAUCGAACAGGAUUAGAUACCCUGGUAGUCCGCACGGUAAACGAUGGAUGCCCGCUGUUGGUCUGAAUAGGUCAGCGGCCAAGCGAAAGCAUUAAGCAUCCCACCUGGGGAGUACGCCGGCAACGGUGAAACUCAAAGGAAUU